GCUGUGAUGAAUAUAAAUGCACUGAUCGUCUGACAUGAUAUUUUGUCCUCUAAGAAGUUCUGAGCUU
ensembl:snoRNA Snord61 small nucleolar RNA, C/D box 61